UACGGAGGGAGCUAGCGUUGUUCGGAAUUACUGGGCGUAAAGAGUACGUAGGCGGUUUUUUAAGUCAGAGGUGAAAUCCCGGAGCUCAACUCCGGAACUGCCUUUGAAACUGGAAAGCUAGAAUCAUGGAGAGGUUAGUGGAAUUCCGAGUGUAGAGGUGAAAUUCGUAGAUAUUCGGAAGAACACCAGUAGCGAAGGCGGCUUUCUGGACUGUAACUGACACUGAGGCACGAAAGCGUGGGGAGCAAACAGGAUUAGAUACCCUGGUAGUCCACGCCGUAAACGAUGAUAACUAGCUGUCCGGUCACUUGGUGAUUGGGUGGCGCAGCUAACGCAUUAAGUUAUCCGCCUGGGGAGUACGGUCGCAAGAUUAAAACUC
rnacentral:rRNA from 1 species